rnacentral:rRNA from 1 species
UGGGGGAUAUUGCACAAUGGAGGAAACUCUGAUGCAGCGACGCCGCGUGAGGGAAGAAGGUCUUCGGAUUGUAAACCUCUGUCUUCAGGGACGAAACAAAUGACGGUACCUGAGGAGGAAGCCACGGCUAACUACGUGCCAGCAGCCGCGGUAAUACGUAGGUGGCAAGCGUUGUCCGGAAUUACUGGGUGUAAAGGGAGCGCAGGCGGGGAAGCAAGUUGGGAGUGAAAUCUAUGGGCUUAACCCAUAAAUUGCUUUCAAAACUGUUUUUCUUGAGUAGUGCAGAGGUAGGCGGAAUUCCCGGUGUAGCGGUGGAAUGCGUAGAUAUCGGGAGGAACACCAGUGGCGAAGGCGGCCUACUGGGCACCAACUGACGCUGAGGCUCGAAAGUAUGGGUAGCAAACA